rnacentral:pre_miRNA from 1 species
GCUCAGUAUUCAGUGUAGAGUCUGUGUGAUAUUCAUACACAGCUACAUCUGAUUACUGGGUCA